rnacentral:lncRNA from 1 species
UUGCUUGGGUAGAACUGCUUCUUGAGUUCUGCCUUGAAAUCUGCCCAAGUCUUGAUAAAGCAAGUGCCUUUCUCUAUGUCGCUUUGUCUUCUCCUCCACCAAACCUUUGCGGUGUCCUCGAGGAAAAGACUACCCAUGCUUACCAUUAGAGCCUCAUCUUGCAUGUCGAGAGCCCUAAAGUAUUGCUCCAUGCUCCAAACAAAGUUGU